rnacentral:lncRNA from 1 species
AGCGAUAGGGAUUAUUAGUAAAGCGUGUUUGAGAAGUUUCCAAAUAAAUUCUCUUUAAUUGCUCGUUAUACUUAGCCGAAAAGGUCUUUUCAUACUUGUAACCGUUCUUGGUUAGUGACGAUUGAGUUCAUUUCUAUAGAUUUUACGUUCCCAUUGGCCGUUAUCAUGUAAUUAAUCUUUUUUUUUUCAUUUAUGAUGCUUUGAAGUUUGAAGUAAAUUGUAUAAGUGCGAAAUCAAUAGAGGUAUAUUUGAUAUAAUAUUCGAAAAAAUUUGAGUUUCAAUCUAAAUAAAUGUCAUUUUGAUAUUUUUCAAACAUAUUAAUAUUAAGAAAGUGACUAAAAUAUAUGUAAAUUAUUACUCCUUCCGUUUUUUAAUAUACGUCAUUUUAGAGAACUAGGGUCACUGCCUCCGCGCUUGCGCGGGGUUGUAGAUAGAGUUCUUGUUUCAUCUCAAUAUUUGCUAGGGUUAUUGUAAUUGUGAAUUUUG